GAUGAACGCUGGCGGCGUGCUUAACACAUGCAAGUCGAACGGUGAAAGAGGAGCUUGCUCCUCUGGAUCAGUGGCGAACGGGUGAGUAACACGUGAGUAACCUGCCCUUGACUCUGGGAUAAGCACUGGAAACGGUGUCUAAUACCGGAUACGAGCUUCAGCCGCAUGGCUAGGAGCUGGAAAGAAUUUCGGUCAAGGAUGGACUCGCGGCCUAUCAGCUAGUUGGUGAGGUAACGGCCCACCAAGGCGACGACGGGUAGCCGGCCUGAGAGGGUGACCGGCCACACUGGGACUGAGACACGGCCCAGACUCCUACGGGAGGCAGCAGUGGGGAAUAUUGCACAAUGGGCGCAAGCCUGAUGCAGCAACGCCGCGUGAGGGACGACGGCCUUCGGGUUGUAAACCUCUUUUAGUAGGGAAGAAGCGAAAGUGACGGU
rnacentral:rRNA from 1 species